AUUGAUAAAAACAUAGUAGCUAGUAAACCUGAUAAUGAAAGUACUAAUAAAUAAAACUAUUAGUAAAUAAAUAUAUUUUUAAUAAAAGAAGCAAUUGAACAAUGAACAACGAAACAUGGUGUCAGAAGCGUAAUCGAAAAUCGCCGAGAGCUUAAAAUGAAUAAAAAAUAAAAGUUAGACAUAAGCCAUUUUCCCUCCAAUAAGUAUAAUAAAAAACGAGAAGUUAAAAAUGGAAUACUUCAAGUCCCCGGAAGCGUUUAACGUACAGGAGCCACAUGGAUGGUCCAAAUGGAAGCAAAUAUUUGAAAUAUUUUUGUUAGCUUCAGGAAAAAACACUAGUUGUAUAUCUAUAAUACAUUUGAAACAACCAAAACUUCAAAACUAGAUGAUGUGUUAUUUUGUUUUGAUGAUCAUUUCUUACCCAAAGAAAUGACAAACAGCACCAAAACAAGUGGUAAGAACGAGGUAAUUAUUCUAAUUCCAAAUAGCCAGAAAACGGGAGGCAGGAAGAAUAUUGGUCAAAUGAACAAGAUGAAGCUGAGGUUAAGAAACUAACAUCAGAAGUACAGGUUUUGGGCAAUGUAAACUCAGAAUUCAGACAUUAUAAGUAGGGACAAUGCAGGUAUUGAGAAUUCUAUUUUUAUUAAUGAGCAUAAGCCAAAUAUUAAAAAGAAUAGCUGGUAUGAACCUAUUAUUGUUAACAAUAUUGACAAUUGACAUUAUGUUUAAGCUUGAAACAGGAGCUGAAUCUAGCGUUGUACCUUUGAAAUAUUUUAAUGAUCUGAUAAAUAUAAAAUUAUUUCAACAUCCAUGACAAUAAUUUCCUAUUGAAAUUGAGUGUUUUUAUAAAAGUCACUUUAAAAAUGUUGAAUUUUUUAUAGUUGAUUUAGAGUCAGGGCCUUCACUGGAGUUAGGUGAUUGUUUACAUUUUAACAUGAUAUCUAGAGGGAGUAUAGUUCAAACCAAGAUGAUAAUAAUACUGCCAAAAACAAGAAAUGGAGUAAAUAAAAAUUUUAAAAACAUUUUUGAGGGCUUCGGAUGAAUUUCAGAUUAUGUGGAAAUUAGAUUAUACAAACACAAAGAAGGUAACAUUGGCCUCUAAUGAAAAACUAAAAUCAACGUUAGAUAAUCUUGAACAAAAAAGUAUAAUUUCUAAAGUUGAGUUUCCAACUGAUAUAACAAAUAUAUUUGUCGAGAGCAUUAUAUUAUUCCUAGGUGUGACGAAAUUUUAGCUAAGCUGGAAGGAAAAGCAAUUUAAUCUGUAAUUAAAUUUAAAAAAUAUUAGAAAUGAUCUUUAAAAUAUAUAAAAUUUAACUUUGAUAAGCUGCAAUAUAAAAUGCAACCUUCUAAAAAAAUGUACAAGCUGUUUCGGCGAUUGAAAAACUUUUAGACACAAGAUAUUUACCUAGUCCUAAGAUGUAUGUCGCAGAUGCAUUAAGUUGAUCUUAUAUUAAAUCAGAGACUCCCUUAGAUACAGAACUAGGAUACACUAUUCGUGCACUCUCUUUAACUGUACCGAUGUCUGCAGAAAAGGAAAUUGUUUUUCAAAAUGCUGUUAAUAAUGAUUGUUGAAUAACUUCAUAGCCCAACACUGAUAAAAAGUUGACUUCUGAAUUGAAAUAUUCCUUAAACUUGAGACAUAACAAAUAUUUUUUUCUGACAAUUUGCUAUUUUAUAACAUAAAAAUUGUUGUUCCUUCUGAAACUUAGAAGUAGUAUGUUUAAAUUAAUACAUUUGACCAACUUUGGAAUGUAAAAAUGUAAAUUACAAUCACGUAAAAUUGUGAUAUGGCUCAAAAUGUCUAAAGAUAUUGAGAACUAUGUAAGAAAUUGUGAAACUUGUCAAUUCAAUAGGCCAGCUAACCUAAAAGAGACUCUUGUACCCCAUAAAACACCAGAAAGGGGGCGUCCAUGAAUUACGUGAGACAUUUUCUAGGAUUUUUCGACUCCCCACCCUCCUGAUGAGAUUUCGUAAGAUUUUUCUUUACUACCUACACCCCCCUCCCCCAUUCUCACGUGAGAUUUUUUAUAAUGUGUUUUUGGCUGUAAAAUUCAUUGGAUUUAAAAAAAAUACAAAAAAAAAAACAAUUUGCACUAUCACUUUUAUUAAAGACUAGUAUACAAUUGUGAUUUGAGAAUAUUGCCUUAGUUUAAAAUCACUGUGAUGAAAUUAAAUAAUAAAUACUUCAACGUAAAUUAAUAAGAGAUUAUUCUAAUUCAGUCCAUGGAGACUCGUGUACUCCCAAGAGUGACUACUAGAACCAACAUAUUCAAAUAAUUUUCAAUGAAAUCAUCUGCUCCUUCAACUUCGUUCUGAUUGAGCCACUCCAAACCUUUGUCGCUUGCACACAGUCGCUGGUCUUGAAACAAUACACGGUGGUCGCAAUUUAAGUGUUUGCACAGCUCGUGCAUGAUGAGCCGUACGUCGAUGUUCUGCAACUUUUGUGAUGCUUUGUCAUCUUGGGAUAAAAAAGAUAUAGAAUUAGGGCCAAGUAUUGAGGCUACAGUUUCUAGUGACCUUAUGGAAGCUACAGAAAAGUAUUGGUCUUGGUGCAACUCAACUUCACCGGUACAGUCACUACGUGGCGCUUAGCCUACCGCGUAUCUGCCCGUCUAGGCAACAGUGGAAUGUAAGCGGCGCUUCGAGAAAUAUUAAAUCCCAGCUCGAUAAGUUUUUCAGUGAGCAGCUCUGAAAGACUAUGGACACUAGGAACAAUUUCACAGCGACGCCGUUCCUCAGCUGAUGCACCAAACAUAGCUAAAUCACUAAUAGUUUUCAGCAAUUCAGACUGCUCUUCCUCCAAGCGCGGACGUCUAGAGCUUGCUCGAGGUAUCAACGAUUUUGCUGCUCCAGGAUUUUUAGAACACAAUUCGAUAAUUUUUAUUUUUUCUAUGCUUCAUCGAGUAUAGUCUUUGGUUCUCCUUAGGUUUGAGCUGUUUUUCAAAAUUAUCAAUUUCUUGCCGAAACUUCUCAUCGUCGCUGAAUUUUCCGUUUUGUAGCACCUGUAGGGGAAAGAAAAAAUAAAGAAAAUGUCGCACAUACAAAAAAAAAUUGAAUGUAUGAAUGAAUAUCUCUAAAAACAUGCUUAAAAAAUGUAUAAAGUUUUCGAUGCAUCGAUUUAUAUCGAAUAUCCCUAGUCCUGUCAAGAGAUAGAAAAAAGAAGAAGAUAGCAAAGUGAUAAAAAACAUGGUAGCUUGAAAACCUGAUAAUGGAAGUGCUAAUAAAUAAAACUACUAGUAAAUAAGUAUAGUUUUAAUAAAACAUAUAAAAAAAAAGAAAUUGAACAAUAAACAACGAAACAACAUGAAACAGUUGAUUGACUUGUAUGCAAAAUACAGGAAUGAAGUUUGUACUUUCAAAGUAAAAAUGGUUAAAAUUAUGAAGCUGAAGAAAGCCACAGAGUUUAAAAAUAUUAGCAUCCAAAUAACACCAACAUUAUGAAUUAGUGAAAGGUAGUAGGAAGAAGUUUCAGAACAUAUGCGGAUAACCAGAAUAAAACAGGGAAUUGUUGCAAGAACCCAAAAAAACCAUAUAAAUUGAUGAGUCCUGUUUAUUCACAAACGAUAUACAAUUGAGGACGCAUCACUAGGUGUUUGUGGGAAUUUGUCAAGAGGAUGGGAAAUGUUUUUGUUUGCCAUGCCUUUCAGGAGAAAAAAAGUGUGGCUUUAUAUUAUUGGCCAGUACUUAGAACCCGGAACUACUAUUAUGUCUGAUGUGUGGAAUUCCAAUACCAAAACUACAAAAGUAGAAGAUGAAUUUUAUACACUUCACUGUUAAUAUGGAAACUGGAACACAUACAUAAAGAGCAAAGAUAAGGUACAAGUACGAAUUAGUAAAAUAUCGGAAUAUGCUAGAUUCGUAUUUGUGUGAAUUUUUGUGGCGGAAAGCUGAUUUUUUCUAUAAUUUAACACUAUAUUUUGGAUUUAUUUAAAUCACAAAAGCCUCAUUUUUGUAGGCGCAGAAAUAUUGAUACAUAUAAAAAGUGAUCUUUUCCAAAAAAACAUGUGUGAAAAUGUUUUUCUGUUGAAUUAUUAAAUGUAAUGUAUAUUUUUUUUUAUUUUGGGGGAAGAAAGGGAACAGGAAAAGGCCUCUAACUUCAACUGAAUGCAGGUUGAAGUAGUAACUUGAAACUGAUUUGCCAACUAAGAUGUUAAAAUGCAAAUAGUAGAAAACAAGAUUAAUCGCAAUGAGUAUUUGCUCUUUGGAUGGAUCGAUAUGACUUGAUAAUCUUACUAAUCUCCUUUUAUUCAAUAUGUAGUAAGAAAGCUGCAAAUAAUUAUUUGUAUAGCUUCAGUACAAAUGGUGAGUGUAAUACAUUUUAUUAUUUUCUCCAAGUAUUCUUCGAUUUUUUGGGGAGUAUUUUCAUGAAAAUUUGGAAUGUCCAGAAACUUUUCUGUCAAUUGCUAAUAACAGAUAUUAGAUGUUAUUUUACCUUUGCCUUAAUCCAAAACUCUAUUUUAAGCAACUAAAGUUCUUAUCUAAGAUGAAAUUGUCGAGUCGGUUUUUUAAGUAUGGCACAAAAAACAAAUUAGUUGAAUUUUACCAUAAAUUUGUAAACUAGAAAAUAUUUUCAAAAAUUGGUUCUGUUAUUAUAUUCAAAUUCAUGUUAUGACCCAUUUUUGGGAAACAUCAAUUCAAGUUUUUGACCAUUCUAAUACAUAUUUUACAAAAUAUAUAGGUCAUCAAAAUUACAUAAAUGUAAUAUACUUCUUUAUACAAGAAUGUAUUGAGCAUUCACCUUUCUAUCUAAUUAUUAUAAUAAAUAUUAGCUGACCCGUCAAAAGUUGUUUUGCCAUAAAUAUUAUUUCUUUGAAAUAUUUUCUUAGGCAUUAUUUUGGUGUGAGCGACCCUUAACAUAUAGAGAUAUGAAAAAUAGAUGUUGGCCGAUUCUUGGACUUACACUAUAUUCACAUAAAAAAUCACGAAAAUCGGUCCAGUUAAUUCGGAGGAGUUUGGCAACAAAUAUCACACGAGAAUUUUAUGUAUUAGAUUAUACAAUCUUUAUGAAUAUACCUUUAUUGGAUUCGAUGUCAUACUUUUAGAUACAUGGGUGAAUAUAUAUUGAGAAGGUAUUUUCAGUGAUCCCAGAGGUGAUAUGUUCAAAUCAGUAUUAAAUAUCUCUCAACUGAGCUUUGUAUGGUAUAUCUAAUGUUGUGGACUGAAAGAAAAAGCAUAGCAAUUAUUACGAAACUCUUCAAAUCGAAGGAAAAUGAUACUUUUUCAUAGAAAAUAGAGUAGCAGACUUAUCAGUCUUAUAUAAAACUAAUACUCAUUCUUAUUAUAAUCUUUAUAAAAGAAAAAUAUUUAUACUUGUGAAAAAACGAAUUGUGUCUUUUCUUUUAGAAAAUAUGCCCUUACUUAGUCAUUUGUAGUGACAUGUUCUUACAAUCUGAUGAUUGCCCGGCAUAUUAUUCCAUAUAAGUUGUGCAUUUUUUAGAUCAAACGUACCCUGAUAUGUUCAUAGGACAAGUUUAUUUAUUUGGCCAUCCAGAUCUUCAGACCUAACUUGCCUAGAUUUUUAUUUGUGGGGCCAAAUAAAAGAUCUUUUUUACACCGGGAACCUAACCAAAACAGAGCAUUUGUGAUCAUCUUGUCUCUUGUAAAGAUGAGAGUUUUUAUUUUCAUGUUAUGUUUGAUUUCUAUUUGAAAAGUUUGAGAGGUGAGUGUGAAGAAAUUUGAAGUUUCUCCCAAAAACAAGCUUGUAGCCAUCUCGUUAGAUUUUAGAUAAUUUCGUCUGAACAACUCAUGCUUAAAGAUCCAUAAUUUUUGAUUUUUUAUUAAUAAAAUGAUGCAUAAACUCAGUUUCAUAGAUAGAACGGAGGGACUCAGGCUUUCGGAAAUUUUAUAAUAAUAUGCUCUUUUAUUUCACGAGGCAGGUCUCUCAAUAUAUUUUGAAAUAAACAACUUUUCCAUAUUACUUAAUCCUGUGGUGUUAUCGGCAUUAUUUUUACAUUUUUCUGAUGUACCAAUAUUAAAUAAUUUAAGUCUGUGUUAAACGAUAUCGAUAGUGCAUCUGCAAGAAAAUGUUUAUUACCCAAUUUUCAAUUCAAUAAAGAUAUCAUGAUAUGGUACUGUUCCAAAUUUAACCUAAUAUUUGAAGUUCUAGAUGGGUUUAUUCUUAUGAUUCUUAGAAAAAUUGUUACAGUCUUUUCAUUACUUUCAAAAAUCACAGUUCCACUAAAAAUAUAUUUAUGAAAGUGCUCACACCUUUGUGAAAUAGGAAGUAGCUUCGUCUGCAUUUGACAUAAAAAUAGUUCCUUUGGUAAUAUUUGACUUCAAAUAGGCAUCAAAUAAAAAAAAUUAAAUGUUCUUACUAAUAAUACAAAUUAACUCGUUUUAUUAUCGUAACAAUGAUGGCGUAUUAACUAUUAUCUAACUUAUCACUUAAUUUUCAAUAAUGGGUAAUUCCUAUAAUAAUAUUUCUCAUAUGAUUAGACAUUAGCUGAAUCAAUUUCGAUAUGGUUUCUUUUGUGAUGUUGAGCCAAUU